UACGAAGGGUGCAAACGUUGCUCGGAAUCAUUGGGCGUAAAGCGCACGUAGGCGGCUUCGCAAGUCGGAUGUGAAAUCCCUCGGCUCAACCGAGGACGUGCAUCCGAAACUGCGGGGCUUGAGUACAGAAGAGGAUCGCGGAAUUCCCGGUGUAGAGGUGAAAUUCGUAGAUAUCGGGAGGAACACCAGUGGCGAAGGCGGCGAUCUGGGCUGAUACUGACGCUGAGGUGCGAGAGCGUGGGGAGCAAACAGG
rnacentral:rRNA from 1 species